rnacentral:rRNA from 1 species
GAGAGAGACAUGCGCGCAUAUCAAUAAGCGGAGGAAAAGAAACUAACUAGGAUUCCCUCAGUAACGGCGAGUGAAGCGGGAAGAGCUCAAAUUUGAAAUCUUCAAGGUUCUACCUUGACGAAUUGUAGUUUAAAGAAGUGUUUUCUGUUGGAGUUUUGGUAAAAGUUCUUUGGAAUAGGACAUCAUAGAGGGUGAGAAUCCCGUAUUUGACCAUUAUUUCCAGCUUUGUGAUACACUUUCAAAGAGUCGGAUUGUUUGGGAAUGCAGUCCAAAAUGGGUGGUAAAUUUCAUCUAAAGCUAAAUACUGGCGAGAGACCGAUAGCGAACAAGUACCGUGAGGGAAAGAUGAAAAGAACUUUGAAAAGAGAGUUAAACAGUACGUGAAAUUGUCAAAAGGGAAGCGUUUGACACCAGUGUUGUUUUCUCGAAAAUCAAUUAAAAAAGGCAGGAUUUUGUGUUGUAUUGACUUUAUCAGCUUUCUGCACUCUUUUCUUGUCUUUUUUAAUGCACUUUUCGUUUAACAAGUCAACAUCAAUUUCUUUUGUUGUAAAAGGGUCAUUGGAAGGUGGCUUUCUUUUCGGAGAAAGUGUUUAUAGCCUUUGGCCUCUGCAAUCGGAGAGAUUGAGGUCUGCAGCGUAGAUCCUUCGGGGUUAGAUACAUUUGUGCUAAGUUAUAGCCUUUCAUAGACAACUUGUUGACUAUGAUCAGUCAUGUAGCUUACUCGCUUAUGUUAUUUUACCUACGCUUAGGAUGUUGAUGUGAUACUGCGAGCA